rnacentral:rRNA from 1 species
UACGGGGGGAGCAAGCGUUGUUCGGAAUUACUGGGCGUAAAGGGCGCGUAGGCGGCCAACUAAGUCGGACGUGAAAUCCCUCAGCUUAACUGGGGAACUGCGUCCGAUACUGGAUGGCUUGGAUUUGGGAGAGGGAUGCGGAAUUCCAGGUGUAGCGGUGAAAUGCGUAGAUAUCUGGAGGAACACCGGUGGCGAAGGCGGCAUCCUGGACCAAUAUUGACGCUGAGGAGCGAAAGCUAGGGGAGCAAACAGG